UACGUAGGGUGCGAGCGUUGUCCGGAAUUAUUGGGCGUAAAGGGCUCGUAGGCGGUCUGUCGCGUCGGGAGUGAAAACUCAGGGCUUAACCCUGAGCCUGCUUCCGAUACGGGCAGACUAGAGGUAUGCAGGGGAGAACGGAAUUCCUGGUGUAGCGGUGGAAUGCGCAGAUAUCAGGAGGAACACCGGUGGCGAAGGCGGUCUCUGGGCAUUACCUGACGCUGAGGAGCGAAAGCGUGGGGAGCGAACAGG
rnacentral:rRNA from 1 species